rnacentral:rRNA from 1 species
CCUACGGGUGGCAGCAGUGAGGAAUAUUGGUCAAUGGCCGUAAGGCUGAACCAGCCAAGUAGCGUGAGGGAAGACGGCCCUAUGGGUGGUAAACCUCUUUUAUGCGGGGAUAAAGGUGUCCACGUGUGGAUGUUUGCAGGUACCGCAUGUAUAAGGACAGGCUAAUUCCGGGCCAGCCGCACCGGUAAUACGGAAGGUCCGGGCGUUAUCCGGAUUUGUUGGGUUUAAAGGGAGCGUAGGCCGGUCUUUAAGCGUGCCGUGAAAUUUUGUGGCUCAACCAUGAGAGUGCGGCGCGAACUGGAGACCUUGAGUGCGCGGAAGGCAGGCGGAAUUCGUGGUGUAGCGGUGAAAUGCUUAGAUAUCACGAAGAACCCCGAUUGCGAAGGCAGCCUGCCGCAGCGUUACUGACGCUGAGGCUCGAAAGCGUGGGGAGCAAACAGGAUUAGAUACCCGGGUAGUC